CUGAGGGGGUGAGGCUGGAGGGUUGCUUGAGCCCAGGAGUUUAAGGCUGUAGUGAGCCAUGAUCGUGCCACUGCACUCCAGCCUGAGUGCAGGAGCUGGGCUUGUCUGUGGGGCCCAGGGGAACAAGGGGGGAAUGGGGGCCCAGGCGGAACAACUGCUACGGGAACGGAAAGGAGUUUGGGGACCAGUCAAGGGGUUGCUGAGCUGCACUUAAGACCCAGCCAAGGUUGGAGAAAAUUAAUCUGUGCUGGCGCCAAUCGGCAUGGUGAUGUGAUUUGUGCCUGCGGCACUUGGCAGCCCAGGGUGAAAUGGAGAAAACAGGUGGUUUUCUUAGCUCCUGCUCAUCCGCCAUCUCGUUGAAUCUGCCUGGCAACACUCACUGCCUCCGAUUUACAGAUGAGAAAACUGAGGCCCGGGGAGAGGAGGCCACAUGGCUGGAGUGUUGCGACAAGUGAGUGGGGACACAGGACCCAGUCCAGGAAAAUAACAGAUGCUGGUGAGGUUGCAGAGAAAAGUGAAUGCUUAUACACUGCUGGUGAGAAUGUAAACUAGUUCAGCCACUGUGGAGAGCAGUUUGGAGAUUUCUCAAAGAACUUAUAAUAGAAAUAAUAUCUGACCUAGCAAUCCCAUUACUGGGUAUAUACCCAAAGGAAUAAAAUCAUUCUACCAUAAAGACACAUACAUGUUCAUCAUAGCACUAUUCACAAUAGCAAAGACCUGGAAUCAACCUCAAUGCCCAUCAAUAGUGGACUAGAUAAAGAAAAAUGUGGUAAAUGUACACCAUGGAAUACUAUGCAGCCAUAAAAAAGGACAAUAUCUUGUCCGUUGCAGCAACAUACAUGGGGCUGGAGGCCAUUAUCCUAAGUGAAUUAAUGCAUGAGCAGAAAACCGAAUACUGCAUUUUCUCACUUAUAAGUGGGAGCUAAACACUGAGUACACAUGGACACAAAGAAGGGAGCAAUAACAUAGAGGCCUACUUGAGGGUGGAGGGUGGGAAGAGGGUGAUGAUGGAAAAACUACCUAUCAGGUACUAUGCUUAUUACCUGGGUAAUAAA
rnacentral:lncRNA from 1 species